rnacentral:rRNA from 1 species
GACGAACGCUGGCGGCGUGCUUAACACAUGCAAGUCGAACGGAAAGGCCCCUUUGGGGGUACUCGAGUGGCGAACGGGUGCGUAACACGUGAGUAACCUGCCCUUGACUUCGGGAUAAGUUCAGGAAACUGGGGCUAAUACCGGAUAGGAAUCCUUGCUGCAUGGUGGGGGUUGGAAAGCUUCGGCGGUUUUGGAUGGACUGGCGGCGUAUCAGCUUGUUGGUGGGGUAGUGGCUUACCAAGGCUUUGACGGGUAGCCGGCCUGUGAGGGCGACCGGCCACAUUGGGACCGAGAGACGGCCCAGGCUCCGACGGUAGGCAGCAGUGGGGAAUAUUGCACAAGCGGCGCAAGCCUGAUGCAGCAGCUCCGCGUGCGGGAAGACGGCCUUCGGGUUGUAAACCGCUUUCAGCAGGGGCGAAGCUUGUGGUGACGGUACCUGCAGAAGAAGCACCGGCUAACUACGUG